AACAGCUCAAAUUUGAAAUCUGGCCCUUUCGGGGUCCGAGUUGUAAUUUGUAGAGAGUGCUUCGGGGGAGAUGGCGGUCUAAGUCCAUUGGAACAUGGUGUCAGAGAGGGUGAGAAUCCCGUACGUGACCGCGGAUCGAACCCGUGUGAAGCCUCUUCGACGAGUCGAGUUGUUUGGGAAUGCAGCUCAAAAUGGGUGGUAAAUUUCAUCUAAAGCUAAAUACUGGCUGGAGACCGAUAGCGCACAAGUAGAGUGAUCGAAAGAUGAAAAGCACUUUGGAAAGAGAGUUAAACAGUACGUGAAAUUGUUGAAAGGGAAGCGCUGGCAACCAGACCUGCCCGUGGGCGAUCAACCGCUGUUCUCAGCGGUGCACUCGUUCCGCGAUCAGGCCAGCAUCGGUUUCGGCGGUCGGAUAAAGGCCUUGGGAAUGUAGCUUCCUUCCGGGGGAGUCUUAUAGCCCUCGGUGCAAUGCGGCCAGCCGGGACCGAGGACCGCGCUUCGGCUAGGAUGCUGGCGUAAUGGUUGUCAGCGACC
rnacentral:rRNA from 1 species